AGCUGAGCUACGGCCCCUAAAUCAGAAUAAAGCGUUUAAAACGAUCAAAAGAGGGAUUACAAAAUCUAUAUAACUCAAAGCGAUAUGAUUGAACCGAUAGUUUCAUAUAGGCAUUGACGUCUAUGAGCAUUUGGAAUUUAUAUCAACCAAAUGGACGCUGUAAAAAUCACUUUGCAAGGAAUUUUGACUCCUUAGUAUUUAGCAUUUGAACUGUUUUUUUGCCAUUAAUUUGCUUUAACUUUGGAUUACUCACACAAAAGCAAUAAGCCUGCCAAUUUUGAUAAGCUUUUUAGAAGCAAUCUUUUUAGAAGUACUUAUUUUUUAAAAGCACUUAUGAAAGUAAUGGAUAAACUGGUGGGCCUGGGAGGACUUGAACCUCCGACCUCACGCUUAUCAAGCGCGCGCUCUAACCAACUGAGCUACAAGCCCUCCGGGAUAAACCGGAAAACCUUCCCCGGCAUCCUCUUAUAAAACGCUUAAAUUUUAUCAAGGAAAGCGUUUUUCAAAGCCCACGGUGG
rnacentral:misc_RNA from 1 species